AUUCAAAGAGCUUAUAAGGGUGAAUGUUUAACUACCUAAUUAGUCCCUGAUCAUAGACUCUUGCCUCGGCUCACUCGCUUCGCCCUUUCAAUUCAAGCUUGUAAUAUGGUAUGAGAGCAGGUCAGGGAAAUGGAUGGAAAUGAAACAAAAUAGAAGAGAGAGGACAGAACCAGAAUCAAUUGUUGUUCAUCAUCAUGCUAUUUUUCUUUUACAAUCUCAGUAUUAAUCAGUAGGUGUAAUCCUUAGCUCCUUCCUUUUAUCAUCAAGCAGCAAAAUGACUUGCUCAAUGCUCAUGAACUACCUCUUACCAGUUGCAACAGAUGCGAACAAACCCAACGACUUUUCCUGCCCGAUUCAUUUAGCUAGUUGGUAUUCCAAAUUCACUUGAUUCUUAUAGCGAUCAUCCUCACUUCUUGAAAUGCUAGUCAUUAGAUUGCAAUGAGUUCAAUUUCCAUUCCUCAAUGUCUUAUUGGAUAUUACUGCCAAGUUGUUUUUCAUUUUAUGAAUUUUUGAUGCAGGAACUUUCAGGGAGGAUUAUUAGG
rnacentral:misc_RNA from 1 species